rnacentral:tRNA from 1 species
GCGGCGGUGAACUCUCAUGAACACGGAAACCGUCAGACUACGAAUCUGGGGGUCAGAGGUUCGAAUCCUUUCGGGCGCGCCA